UACGUAGGGAGCAAGCGUUAUCCGGAUUUAUUGGGUGUAAAGGGUGCGUAGACGGGAAUUUAAGUUAGCUGUGAAAUCCCUCGGCUUAACUGAGGAACUGCAACUAAAACUGAAUUUCUUGAGUGCGGGAGAGGAAAGUGGAAUUCCUAGUGUAGCGGUGAAAUGCGUAGAUAUUAGGAGGAACACCAGUGGCGAAGGCGACUUUCUGGACCGUAACUGACGUUGAGGCACGAAAGUGUGGGGAGCAAACAGG
rnacentral:rRNA from 1 species